GUAUAAGCAAUUUAUACCGUGAAACUGCGAAUGGCUCAUUAAAUCAGUUAUCGUUUAUUUGAUAGUACCUUACUACUUGGAUAACCGUGGUAAUUCUAGAGCUAAUACAUGCUAAAAGCCCCGACUUCGGAAGGGGUGUAUUUAUUAGAUAAAAAACCAAUGCCCUCCGGGGCUCCUUGGUGAUUCAUAAUAACUUAACGAAUCGCAUGGCCUUGUGCCGGCGAUGGUUCAUUCAAAUUUCUGCCCUAUCAACUUUGAUGGUAGUAUAUGGGACUACCAUGGUUUCAACGGGUAACGGGGAAUUAGGGUUCUAUUCCGGAGAGGGAGCCUGAGAAACGGCUACCACAUCCAAGGAAGGCAGCAGGCGCGCAAAUUACCCAAUCCCGACACGGGGAGGUAGUGACAAUAAAUACUGAUACAGGGCUCUUUUGGGUCUUGUAAUUGGAAUGAGUACAAUUUAAAUCCCUUAACGAGGAACAAUUGGAGGGCAAGUCUGGUGCCAGCAGCCGCGGUAAUUCCAGCUCCAAUAGCGUAUAUUAAAGUUGUUGCAGUUAAAAAGCUCGUAGUUGAACCUUGGGCCUGGCUGGCCGGUCCGCCUCACCGCGUGCACUGGUCCGGCCGGGUCUUUCCUCCUGGGGAGCCACAUGCCCUUCACUGGGUGUGUUGGGGAACCAGGACUUUUACUUUGAAAAAAUUAGAGUGUUCAAAGCAGGCCUAUGCUCGAAUACAUUAGCAUGGAAUAAUAGAAUAGGACGUGUGGUUCUAUUUUGUUGGUUUCUAGGACCGCCGUAAUGAUUAAUAGGGAUAGUCGGGGGCAUCAGUAUUCAAUUGUCAGAGGUGAAAUUCUUGGAUUUAUUGAAGACUAACUACUGCGAAAGCAUUUGCCAAGGAUGUUUUCAUUAAUCAGUGAACGAAAGUUAGGGGAUCGAAGACGAUCAGAUACCGUCGUAGUCUUAACCAUAAACUAUGCCGACUAGGGAUCGGGCGAUGUUAUUUUUUUGACUCGCUCGGCACCUUACGAG
rnacentral:ncRNA from 1 species